GGGGUUCCUGGCGAUGGGAUUUUUUACCGUUUUUGCCCAAAAUCACAUUGCCAGGGAUUUCCA
rnacentral:pre_miRNA from 1 species